ensembl:lncRNA
AACCAAGCAUGACUUUUCCACCCAACUACAGGGGACAUUUGGCAGUGUCUGGAGACAUUUUUGGUUGUUACAACUGGAAUUGUGCAUCUGGGGGUUGAGGCCAGGGAUGCUGCUAAACAUUCUGCGAUGCACAGGACACUUCCCUGCAACAAAGAAUUACCCAGCUCAAAAGGUUAUCUGAAGUUGGAGUUCUUCAUGCCCUGUGGAAACUGUAGUAUAUAGAACUCCAGCAUUUUCCUGACAAACAUCAAAGCUACUUUGGAUCCGGGGUUGACUUCACGUCCCUCAAAGAGCAUUUCAAAUGGCAAUCUUCAGACUGCAAAGAAAACUUGGGAUCGUUGCUGUUAGAGGAGCUAGACAUGAAUGUGGACAAAUCAAGAUUCCCUUUCUCCCUCACCAGGCCUUCUAUACAAGUCCUGUGCCUUACUCCAAGAAGUGUUUCUCACCAGCGAUUAAUAGGAUGCAACACACAAAAAGGGCUAGUGAAUCUGUUUGUUACAGUCUACUUACUAAGGCUAUGGCUACAAUACUCCAGUGCUGAAGUCAGUGAAAAGGCAUCAUCCAAACACAAUCCAAGGAAAAUGCAAGCUGAUACAGCACAAAGAUGCUUUGUUUAAGAAUGGCAGAAAUUUCCAGCAACUAUCUGGGAGAAAAAAAAUGCAGGAUGGGAGGGAAUGUAAUCAAAUAACAAAACAAACCCAAACUAAAAGAGAAUCUUUAUAAACCAGCACAAGGACACUUUGUUUUUAAGUGCACACAAUGAAUUUUAAAGAUCUUUGUUCAGAAGGGAAAUAAAGUAUUAUGAAGGACUGACACAUUUGAUGGAUGGAUGGUUUCUGAAAAACCACAUUAUCAAUUACUUUUUCCUUGUUUGGCUCCAGUCCAGUAAUUUUUAUUUGAACAAGCCACAUGCUAGCAUGGUUUUGAUUGCAGGAAGUGACUGGUUGUUGUUAAAGGAUACUAUUUCACUGAUGAGCUUAUCUCUUCCUUCCCCCUCCCCUUUCUGAUGGGACUCCGAUAUGAAAGGCACAGCUUCAGUUGUUAUAAACAGAGUCAGGGAUUGUUUGAUAGACCCACCCGUGUUUUGCUUUCAGCCUUCUGUGGUACAAUCCAGACAAUGUAUUCAGCAGGGCUUCAGAAAAAAACAGUUGAAUUCGGCUUAUUUCUGUUCUCAACUCUGACAUGAAAUUUUGAUAUCUCUGAUGUUUGUCUCUCAUAAAUCUAAGUUUGUUAACAAAAAAAAGUUAUGAAUGUUAUAUUCUUUUUUAUAUUGGACUACUAUCUCAAGCGAGUCCUACUGAGAAAAAACAAUCUUUAUGGAACGGUGAAGCUAAAAUGUAUCACAGAUCUUCUCAAACAAUACAGUGCCUUGUUCUAGCUUUGCUUGUUUGCUAACCUUAUCAAAACAAGUAUAUCAGAGUAUUAUUAGUGUAAAUAUAAGAAACACAGCUAAUUAAGCUAUAUUAUUAAGUGCUCUCAGUUUUCCCUUGCAAUUAAAGAAAGAUUUGGGGGCAGUCAUCAGUGGAUAGGAAAUUAUCUAUGAAAUCAAUUGCUGACACACACAGGACCGUCUGUGUGUGUGUGUGUGUGUGUGUAUGUGUGUGUGUGUGUGUAUGUCUGCUAGUCAAGAUAACUUCCUUUAUGAUUGAAUUUUUUUUUGCGUGUUACCAUGCCUGAAACUUAAACUAUUUCUAAGUUCCCAGGGUAUCAUGGUAACUAUAGGCUUUGGAUAGUUAUUUAAGUAUGUUUCCUAGUUCUAUAUUUUAAACACUGAUUUUAGUGAUUAUUUCUCUGCUGAGA